UACGAAGGGGGCUAGCGUUGCUCGGAAUUACUGGGCGUAAAGCGCACGUAGGCGGCUUCUUAAGUCGGUGGUGAGAUCCUGGAGCUCAACUCCAGAACUGCCUUCGAUACUGGGAAGCUCGAGUCCGGGAGAGGUGAGUGGAACUGCGAGUGUAGAGGUGAAAUUCGUAGAUAUUCGCAAGAACACCAGUGGCGAAGGCGGCUCACUGGCCCGAUACUGACGCUGAGGCACGAAAGCGUGGGGAGCAAACAGG
rnacentral:rRNA from 1 species